rnacentral:rRNA from 1 species
CUUGACAUCCAGAGAACUUAGCAGAGAUGCUUUGGUGCCUUCGGGAACUCUGAGACAGGUGCUGCAUGGCUGUCGUCAGCUCGUGUUGUGAAAUGUUGGGUUAAGUCCGCAACGAGCGCAACCCUUAUCCUUUGUUGCCAGCGGUCCGGCCGGGAACUCAAAGGAGACUGCCAGUGAUAAACUGGAGGAAGGUGGGGAUGACGUCAAGUCAUCAUGGCCCUUACGAGUAGGGCUAUACACGUGCUACAACGGCGCAUACAAAGAGAAGCGACCUCGCGAGAGCAAGCGGACCUCAUAAAGUGCGUCGUAGUCCGGAUUGGAGUCUGCAACUCGACUCCAUGAAGUCGGAAUCGCUAGUAAUCGUAGAUCAGAAUGCUACGGUGAAUACGUUCCCGGGCCUUGUACACACCGCCCGUCACACCAUGGGAGUGGGUUGUAAAAGAAGUAGGUAGCUUAACCUUCGGGAGGGCGCUUACCACUUUGUGAUUCAUGACUGGGGUGAAGUCGUAACAAGGUAGGCGUAGACGU